AAAAAAGUUGGUGGUGAAAUCCCAGAGCUUAACUCUGGAACUGCCAUCAAAACUUUUUAGCUAGAGUUUGAUAGAGGAAAGCAGAAUUUCUAGUGUAGAGGUGAAAUUCGUAGAUAUUAGAAAGAAUACCAAUUGCGAAGGCAGCUUUCUGGAUCAUUACUGACACUGAGGAACGAAAGCAUGGGUAGCGAAGAGGAUUAGAUACCCUCGUAGUCCAUGCCGUAAACGAUGUGUGUUAGACGUUGGAAAUUUAUUUUCAGUGUCGCAGCGAAAGCAUUAAACACACCGCCUGGGGAGUACGACCGCAAGGUUAAAACUCAAAUGAAUUGACGGGGACCCGCACAAGUAGUGGAGCAUGUGGUUUAAUUCGAAGAUACGCGCAGAACCUUACCAACACUUGACAUGUUCGUCGCGACUUUAAGAGAUUAAAGUUUUCGGUUCGGCCGGACGAAACACAGGUGCUGCAUGGCUGUCGUCAGCUCGUGUCGUGAGAUGUUGGGUUAAGUCCCGCAACGAGCGCAACCCUCACUUUUAGUUGCCAUCAUUAAGUUGGGCACUCUGAAAGAACUGCCAGUGAUAAGCUGGAGGAAGGUGGGGAUGACGUCAAGUCCUCAUGGCCCUUACGUGUUGGGCUACACACGUGCUACAAUGGCAUUUACAAUAGGAAGCAAGAUGGUGACAUCAAGCAAAUCCUAAAAAGAUGCCUCAGUUCGGAUUGUACUCUGCAACUCGAGUACAUGAAGCUGGAAUUACUAGUAAUCGCGGAUCAGCGCGCCGCGGUGAAUACGUUCC
rnacentral:rRNA from 1 species